rnacentral:lncRNA from 1 species
CCGGGGAGUGUCGCGUCUCCCUGUCACCCAAGCGGGGGCUGAUAGUUGGAAGUUUCGCAUGAUACCGUCGGUCCAGUUCUCCUGCGUCGAUGGCGUGUCCGCUCUGAGCCUACAGUCGACAACGGCGUCUCCCUGAUGGGGGAUGGUCGUGGUUGAUGAUUAAUCCGGGACCGCGUGAGGCAGUAACCUGAGCAGCGAAAACGGGUAGCUGCGGGCGGCAGACGGAUCACACGCCUGAGUGGGCUGGGCCACCCGACGGGUCCUCUGCGAGGCAACCAACUGUUUUGUCAAUUUUCAUCCGUCUUCUUUCCAAUGUAUUUUCCUGUUCUUUCCUUAUAUAUUUUUCCGAAUACCCACUGCUACAAUCUCCUUUAGAGUUCUCAUAUUUCCUCUGCCUAUUCCUCGUGCCCUUCGUCCCGACUUGUUGCUUGUUAUGCUGAAACCUUUCUCGAAGGUGUUGUCCAUUUGCAAUUUAAUACUUAUAAUUCAUUAAUGUAUAAUGAAACCAUUUCCUUUAUAAUAGAUGAAAAUGCUUUGCACUCUGAAUUUACGGUGUCAUUUUGCGCCUUGCAGGCUUAUUCCCUACAUGACCUGGAGGUAGCAUAUUGCCAGGUGUGUUCACGUGGUCCUGAAAAUAACAUGACACAAGGUAUUUGCACAGGUUGUCUGAACAUCCCAAUAGGCAUUUAAUCUUAAUGUGGGUCCGUUGUACGCCACAUGGGGACUUACAAACCAUGCGCAGUUCCGCCCAGCACUUCCAGCCCUGCGCCGAGCUUCCUGCCCUUCAGCACGCUCUCCUCCACCUAACUGAAUCGGAUCCACCUUUUCCGCGGCGGACCGCAUUACCCCAGGGCAUGGCUUUCAUGGCAGGUGUUCUUCUGAUGUACGUGCCGGAGGAGAUCGCGUUCAGGUCAGUUGACGGGACGUCCUGAGCAUAUCCUGCUGACUAAAGCUGGCUGGCUCUGAUUUUGCCGGUCUCUGAUUUCCUUGUUCCCCUCAUCUCUAUAACUGUCUCUUUCCUCUUCUCCCCCCCCCCCGCGGCAGGUUGUUUUGUCGGCUUAUGGACCCCGAGGGGCCCAAUCUACGCCGCCUGUACCUGCCGGGGCUGGACCCGCUCAAGGCGAGUUGGCUUGGCUGAAGAUUUCGGUUUUUGUUGUUGUGUGUGGGCGGACUUAGGGAUUUAGGGUGCUCGUUCGGGGAGAGAUAGAAAGGGAAGGCAGCAGGAAUGGUGGAACUGGUUAUUUUAUUCCGCUGUUCAUUUUCUUUCUUUUUUUCUCCUCCUAGGCCUUUGGCUGGUCCUUGCGGGCUUCCCAGGAAUCUGCUCCACUUCCUCCCUUUGUUCGCCUUCCUCGACGCCUGUCCUCGUUCAAAAGGAAAGAAUAUUCUCCGAAUCUCCGCGAACAGGCUGAGCUGGCAACCUUUGAACUUCUGCUGACGUGGCGGCUGCCUGAGCUAGCAGUGCACCUCUCAGAGUACGGCCUUCCUCCCGUACUGUACGUCAGUCAAUGGCUUAUGACGCUCUUCGCGACGCCCUUCCCGCCGGCCUUCUGUGCCCGAGUCAUAGAUGUGCUGUUGCAGGUAGGGAAGGGAGGACGCUGGGAGGUAAGGGGCGCCAACGAACAAAACACACGAAAGAGGGGGAAAGGGAGGACCGGCGUGUGCGGGUUUGGUUAAACCCAAGUGCCCCAAUGCACAGGAGACUGCCCCGCAGACCUCUGUCUCCUUACCCGCGCGCUGUUCGCUGUUCACCGAGCCCCCGGUUACUGCAGGACGGUCACGAUCGGUUGCUGCUUCGAUGCUCCUUCGCAAUCAUGGAGGUACUGGAGCCUGGACUGCUUGCCCGACAUGACUUCGAGGCGCUUAUCACGUACCUCAAGGUGUUGUUAGUGGUGGUCGUGGUCGUGGUGAAGUAGUGGUCAGACGGGAAAGGGCAUGAGAAGAAAAAUGGUAUAAGAGUGAGAAGAGCAGGGGGGGUUACCGGAGGGACAAUCAGUGCCACUUGUGCCGCUGCACCUGUUCCUCCUUUACCCUACUGCUGGCCCCGUUCCCACUGCUACUACGUCUGCUGCUACUACUGCUACUACUGCUGCUACUGCUACUGCUGCAUGCAGAUGGAACCGGUGACCUGGGGUCUGGGUCGCCAACGGGCCAUCAUGGAGCGAGCACUGGCAAGCCCCCUCACGGACGCGGAGAUAGACGUGGCGCGGGAUACGGUGGCGAACCGCAAAUUCCUGGCGGCGGCGCUGGCGGCGGGUAGUACGUCGGGGUCGGCUGCCGCAGGUGGCGACGCGGCGACGGCAGCACCGGAGGUACUAGGUAGCGGCGGCAGCAGUAGCGCCGCCACCGCCGCCGAAGCGGCGGACCCGUCAGCGGCGAUGCACCAGCGGAAACUCAGCCUUGAGGCGGAAGUGGAUGCGGCGCUGGAAGUAGCAGCAGCGGCGGCGGCGUUGACGGCGGCGGCUGAUGUCGGCGCUGCUGGGUGCAGUCGCGGCGGUUUACGGGAUUGGGACGCGGACGGUCGCGGUGGAGCGGGGGCGGCAGGGGUCUGUGCUGCGCGCACCGCCGCACGGGGCCGAUUCGGUCCCGAAGGUGGCGACAUGAUUUCGUUUGAGGAGGAGGAGGGCACGAGCAGGUUUGGUGCUGCUGGCAGUGCCGGCUACGCCUCAGCGGCAGCGGAGUUGCCCAGCUGCAGCGGCGGAGGCAGCUCUGCGCCGCCGCCAGGGGGAGGCUGGGAACCGGAGUGGCCCGUGGGUCAUCAGAUGUCAGGAGCGGGGUCACACCACCACAGCGGCGUGGAGCCAGCUAGCAGCUCCACCGCUACCGGAGCAACGGCGGCGCGGCGACCCUGCGGCAGCGGCUGUCCAUCUUACGGCAUAUCGCCGUCGCUCCUAGACGAUUUGGACUUGGGCUGUGGUGGCGGCGGUGCCGCUGCCAUCGCUACGGGACGUAAGGCCCCGGAUCUAGAGUACGGAGAGUACGGGGAGAUGCUUAUGGACGCCGGUGUUCUGCUGCCGGAGGUGGGUACGAGCGCAGGUGGCGCUGCCGGGAUAGGGAUCCUGACGGCGGCACCGACAGCAGCAGCAGCAGUAGCAGCUGGUGGCGGCGGCGGCGGGGGCUUGUGUGCCGGCCUCGACGCUGGUGACCCUUUGAGAUCGGCGGCGACACACGCUGCUAAUCCAGUACGGCCGUACAGGCAGAUCCAGCCCGGGGCCGACCUCCUCCUAGACUAAGAUCCUACCGGGCGCUUCCGCCCAGGCCGGGGGGGGUAUCUUGUAUCUGUUACCAUGCUAGCUUGUCCCUUGCAUAAAUGGACAAAUGGUGUCGUACUAGCAAAGGUUGACAGACUCGCUUCGCGCGGCAUAGGCGUAUGCCCACUCGGUUUGUGGCUUUCGUCGUGACUGACAGAUAUGCAAACAGACAGACAGACUUCUCGGAUUUGGAUGGGAGGACCGCGGCGGGCAGGUUCCCGGGCAGCUGUGCCUUGUUGGGCUUGUGCGUGCGGUUCCAUCCAUCCGACUCCACCGCAACUAAGGUAUGGAGAGUUUGCAUUGUGCCCGAAGCCGAAGGACUGCGAUCAGACAGAAAGUCAAAAGCAGAGAGGGGCUGUGCGGGGCUGAUGGGUAUCCCGCUGAGAAUCGCGAACAGGUAGAGCAGGCGUUUAUGUCGGUUUGGCGUCGUUCUCCUCGGGCUUAACGUGAACGUUAGCGUCUUGACUGGGGGGCUUUUGACGCUAAACAAGCAGGUAAUACAUCAAGAGAUGUAUCAUAAAUCAGGUGGUGGGAAGUGCCGGAAGGAGCGGGACGUCCUCAGGGUGGGGCCUCCAACCGCGUUCAAAUUGAGGCGGUGAUGUAAUGCGUGUAUGUGUGUGUGGGGGGGGGGGAGAGAAAGGGGCUUCCUGUGCUGGGGUCAUGGUGCGCUGAUGUUGCAAGCUCGAGCUCGGAAAGCGAUGGGCGUCAUCGUGUAGCCCUGCGGUGCAUGGGCCUCGUAGGUCCUGUGCUUAGGGCGUGUGGCGGAUGACGGUGUGUCCGCCAUGGAUAGCUAUAUGUGGAUAGAAGCCCCCCCUUGAUGCGGUGGUCAACAGGGUGGUAAGUGUGUAUGGACGGAGGUGCAGGGGCGUGCCGCGUACCAUUAUCGGGAGCUUCUUGACGUCGUCACGACAAGCGGUGUUUUGGCUCGUGGCUAUGUGCGUGGUGGUAGUGGACGGGUAUUACUACUGUCUGCUCCCGCAUCUUAACAAGAGAUGAAAUGCGCCGUAAGCACAUACAUACACACACACACACACACGCGCGGACGCACGCGCGCGCGCGUAUCUAACUAUAACACUAAAUUCCAUCGCAUUCGUCAGAUAGGAUAAGAAAGUUCGACGGACGUAACAAAUAACACGUUUUUUGGAGCUGGUCGGUGGUAUAUGAAAGCAAGGCGGUGUCGUUAUCUGACGCUGCCGUAAUCUGUUUACUUGCGCCUUCGACACGGAUCGAUUAUUUGCCAUAUGGCGAGCAUCUAGCGACCGGUGCCUGCCUGCCUGCUAGUUUUGUUUGGCGGCCCUGCGGAAUGAAGACACGAUGCAUCGCACAGGGAGGUUGGGGAUGGAUGGCGGUGACGCCUGGGUGCCUUCAUAGGAAUGUAUGUUAGGAGUAGCACUAGCCAUGUAGAGAUGAUGACGGGCUUAAUGCUGGUGACCCGUCUUGCAGAGCAAUAUAUUAAUGUGAAGUUGGGAAUCCUGCAAACGUUCGAUGGGAGACGGUCAUGGAAUGGGAAGGUGGGCGCGCCAUUUAUACUUGCUUUCGCUUUAACCAAAUGCAUUAGACAGUGGCGUGCGCUUAUGCUUAUGCGGCGCAAAUUAAAGAAUGUGCCAUAGGUGUAGCUACCGCAUAGCCUCAUUUGGCAGGAGUAGUUGGAGCCGGGGAUUCUGGCAGCACCUGUGGCACAUUACCGCCGGAAGUGUCACCGCAGGAAAUAGGGAUCGGCUGCUACGCGCAGACGUUAAUCGUUGUUUGUAAUGUCAAUCGAGAGCUUGCUGUGGGUGUACGGCAAAGAAGUCCAUUGGGGCCACGUACCGCCUGCCCAAUCCAACCCCUGUCACGUACACGCCGCUCUACUUGCUAGUGAAACCCUACCUGCACGCCCAUGGCCGCACAUUGCCCUGGCCGCGUCCGACCCCACCUGCCAACCCACUGAAAGUUGUCUCCAAUCCGACGAUACCGUAAUACAGCACUGGCCUUCAGCCUUCAACCUGCUAGGUGAAGGACUAAAUACAAGCGAGGGCAACGGAACUUUGGAUGCUGGCAACACACACACACACACACACACACGUCUGUUCGCCUCUGGAGAGGUUGCAACAAGGACCAGGGUGGAUCAAUCUUAGUAAGGGCCUGAUGUGUUCGACAUUCACCAGAUGCCUUGCAUCGCAUAAACGAAGGUAGAGACGACUCACAACCGUUUCGUACCACAGAAGAAGAUUGUGAUGUGAAGCGUGUCACACUAUGAACGUCCUCGGCGGAGCUGAUAGUCAAGACCAAAAGAACGCUUCCCUGGUAAACUCCUGACCUAAUUUGCGUAAGGACCAGUUGUCAAUAAUUUCUAAAGAUAUGACUCGAGUUGAAAUUAGCAAAGUUAAGCAAGUAGGCAGGUCGUUAUGAUAACUUGAGGAGGUGAAGCCGCCGUACGGCUUGUCGUCCAAUGGAGCAACUCGGCGUUCCAAAUUUUGCGUCAUUACCAUUCCCGUUUCUCUUCUAGGUCAUUGGUAGCAAUCUAGGACCGUAGUAGUCUUUCGCCAAGUCAAAAUGGCCUCGCUCAUGCGGACCCAGACGCUUCUGCGCGCGUGCCCUCAACGCUGCGCAUUCACGCCCGUGAAGCCCACCUUUGGUACGUAGGCCUUAGGCAGGAUUGUGCUUAGAAAGUUGGCAAUAAGGAGACUGCAAUAUGACUGAACUUUCUAUGUGGCUGCGCUGCUUUGUGUCUUUUCUCUGCAGCUCCAGUGAGCCGACCUGCCGUCGAACGCGGCGCUCUAGUUGUGAUGGCUGCUGAGGCGAAGAAGGAUCAGAAGAAGAAGAUGCCCAGUCCUGUUAAGCGCGCUCUGCUGGCCGAGGAGCGCCGCUUGUACAACAAGAGCCGCAAGUCUGCUUGCGCAACCCGCGUUAAGAAGGUGAUUAUAAGGCUGCAAAGUUGUGAUGUAAAAUGUGGCACAGUACUGAAGCGAUGGGUUGUGAGAAGCGGGUUGGUGAUUUGAACCCAUUUCCUUGCUACCCUUGGUUGCCCUGCAGGUCAUUAAGAUGGCAGAGUCAUUGAUGUCGACCGCAGAUGCCCACUCAGAGGAUCAGGUGAAGGCCCUUGAGAAGCUUGUCUCGGAGGCAUACACGGAAAUUGACAAGGCGGUCGUGAAGGGUAUUCUUCACGAGAACACAGCUGCGCGUAAGAAGGCCCGCUGCGCGCGCUACAAGAAGCAUGUGCUGAUGUUUGCUGGUCUUUAUAAGCCGGCUGAGGAUAGCGAGGACUAUGCGCGCUUCUUGAGACUGCAGGCUAAGGCCGCUGAGGUGCGGGCAAAGGAGGCCACGCAGAAACCGAAGGCGGCGGCCGCAUAAGCAGCUGGAGUGGGACGGUGGCGAUCCGUAGCUGGCGGCGUGUCCAAGUUGAGGAGGGGCCUGGAGCAUGAGUCCUGGUUUUUUGAGUCUUGCCCGCACAAUGGGGCGGUCCAAUUGGGCUUUGGCAGGCAUAUGGCAGCGGUAGCCUGUGCCCAAGGAAGGGACGAUUUUCUUGUGCUGUCAUGUACCUCCGGGUCGGGACGUUUUAUCUCCGGGGCAUGGCGUGUGCUAUUUCUUUGGGGAACUGAUUUAACCAGCAGUUUCUGCAAGUCUUUAGGUGCCCGCUGACGAGGAUGCUUGGGAAGGACAACGCGCUUGGAGACUAAGGAUUAACCUUGUACAAUGGGGAGACAGUAAUUAAUGACCGUUCGUUACUGUGUACGAGCCUGGGUCAUCGAUGAAAUGCCUAGCCCUGAUCCUAUGCAGCUUGCUCGCUAGGCUGCGCGAGCUAGGCCUUGUUUGGAGGGUUAGCAGGAGUGGGCGCGCUUUGUCGGUUUGCUGUCAUUGGAGACGAAUGGUGGGUGGGGGUUCUCAGGACCUGGACUGACAGACAAAUGAAGGCGGCCGAAUGGUGGCCUAAUUUUAAUUGCGACUGUGUGGUAUUCCCGGUAAAGCGUUAGCCUGAUAUAUGUAUGGAAUUCAUGCCUCGCAUAGCCGCGCUGCACCGGCACCGUUUCAUGUGCCGUGCCAUGCCAUUCCUUUGUAGCAUGCGCGGAGCGAUAUGCAGAAUAUUCAGCUGUGGUCAAGUAAUCACAGGGCACAAAGAUGGAAGAUAAUCAAAGGAGCUAUUGCUACCCGCAUCAAUAUUAUCAGUGUGCAGUUAAUGAUUAUUUAUAUGCAAAGCAAGUAUGCUUACAAGCUAAACUACAAGACACACCUACAACGGCAGAUCCCCAAUAAUGACAUCGUUACGAUGUACAGAGCAAUACUUAAUAGUACGCUUGCAUGUCAUACGGUGCAACACUUAAAGAGGUGAGGUGAUAAGAAUCCGCGCCAUUCCCGCCUCGAGCCGCUGUCAAGCCGCGGAUGCCCCCUCCGAAACCAGGGUGUAACGCAAGCACAACAGUGCUACCCCACCCAGGUAGCAACGGCUGUGGCAAGGUACUGUCGCGGUUGCUGGCCGUACGGCUCCCAGGCCGCAGCACUCCAGGGAAGCUUAUGCCCCGUGCUCUGCCAGCCGCUGCCGUCAUCGCCGAGACAAGGACCGCGACGACCCAUCUGGCCACCCCGCCUAUCUUGUCAUGUCACCGGCAGCAAUGCAUCGUCCGCAUGGAUCGGCCCCUGCAUGCGAGUGAAGGGGUUCCUUCAUCGAAAUGAUAAGAGAGCAGGUGCUGGCUUGGACUUGCACUGGCAAUGUGGUUAUUACUCACGUCCCACCCUCCUGAGUCAGACGCAGGUAAGAGAGGACACCGACUACACAUAUAUACAUACACACAUACAUACACCGUCAAAACGUCCUAAUUGCAACUCAAUUUUAUAAAACACACACUGAUAACGCGCGCACCCACCCACACACACACGGAGUCACACACAAGAGACACACACAAAGGCACACGCACACAGACACACAGGCACACCGUGUUCCGCCCUACAUUGUUUUCAUCCACACACGCCUCCACGUAAAUGCUUAAGGGGACUAACUGCAGUGUGGGGACCCCCCCCACACACACUCCCUGAAAAUUCAAAAACUUAAUAAACAUAAUAAAAGAACUAAAAACUUUAAAAAACCCACUUGCGGUACACCAGCUCUAGAUCCGGAUGAGAGGCGGUCGACAGCAGGUUUCGGAGCGAGGCCAGUGAUACGGAAUCACAGUCCUGCAAGGAAAGGAAAGGAAAGGAGGGCACGAGGUGAAAGGGGGGAAGGCGGGAAAGGGGGACGAUUACACGCAUCCUCAGAAAAUCAAUUGCAUCAAGGAGACAACAAACCGCCUAAAGGAGAUUGUCCAAAGCGGGUGUGUCACAACCCCAGCUAAAGAGGGCCAGGGCCGGCGCCGCACACCCCCCAAGCGCACCAUACACCGCAUCCUCAGGAGUUUGGGGACGAGAACAGCACAUGCAUACAUACAUACAUACAUACAUACAUACAUACAUACAUACAUACAUACAUGCAUUCAUACAUACAUACAUACAUACAUACAUACAUACAUACAUACAUACAUACAUACAUACAUACAUACAUACAUACAUACAUACAUACAUACAUAUGCAAGGCUAUGGUUUUCAAAAGAAACCGCAAAACCCAAAAGCUCUAUGCACACCUGCAGCUCCAAGAGCUCAAGUUUGGGACAGAAGGCCAGCAGCGCCGCCAGGGUCCUGGUGUCGAUGAGGGGGCACUCCGUAAAGGACACGCGCUCCAGACGUGAGAGGUUCCGAAUGGACAAGAUAAAGCCAAUGUCUGAAGGAGAGAGAGAGAGCGGGGUGAGGGAGGGAGGGAUGGAAAAGACCCAUGGGUCAGAUCAGGCAAUUCGGGUUUUGAGACACGGGGAGGACACGGACGUUGCAAGUGUGUAUGUCUGUCCAUGUCUGUCCUCCAUCCCUCCCUACCCCUCCUCCACACAACUUACACGGCUACACCCUCACACCCAGAUCCAGAUCUGCAGAUCUGCAGAUCCAGAUCUGCAGAUCCAGAUCUGCAGAUCCAGAUCCAGGCUUACCAGUUAUGUUGGGACACUUGGCAAGGUCGAUCUUGGUGAGGGCGCUGUGUGCCGAUGUGAAGUCCACCCAGCCGCUGUCGGUCACUGCCCCGCUGCCCUCCAGACGGAACGUCUCCAGCCGCCGCAAACCGCUCAGUCCCGCCAGACCCACGUCGGAGAUGGAAUCAACGGGGUUGUCCCAAAGGAACAAAUUGACCAGGCUGGUCUGGGCGGGGAAGGGAGGAGGAGGGAAGGAGAGGGCCGGGGAAAGGUAGCAGCAAGGAAAGCGGCACGUCAUUCGUUACCACCACCACCACCACUGCGCGUGUAUACCUUCUGAUAGAUACACUUUUCGAUACCUUUUCCUCUUCGCCGCCUUUAGCUCUCUACGUUUUACCUCUACGGCUUCAUUUGCUUUUCUGCUUUCCUUCCGGCUUUUUUCUUUCAUCUCAGCGGCUAGGUUGUCAUUUCGCUGUUUCGCCUUCUGCCCUUCUAUGAACCCGCCAGCUAGUAACUCGUUUCGCAAUCUAGCUGGCCAGCCACAUCCGCCGCCAUGUGACUCCCCCCGCCCACGUCAUUGCUGGUCACAGCCUUACAAAUUUUCCUGAUGCAGCACCCUUAUAGUCCUGGUUAAUCCGUAAUCUAUCUCUGGCAUCUGCUUCAAUCGUCGGUGGUUCGUCUUACCCCCCCCCUCCCCUUCCCUUUCCGGUCACUUUCAGCCGGUUCUCAUAGACCCAUGUCCAACCCUCCUCUCUUACCACCCCAAGUCCAACCCUCCGAACUCCCUCGUCGCCCUCGUAUCACAAACCCUGACACCCCGCUCACAAUCUCCGCUAUGUUCUUGAGGCUGCUGUCCGUAGAGUCACAUGAUAAGGCCCGCAGGGAGGGGAAUGUCGUACGGAGAUGCGCCUCGUACAGGAUGUUGUGGCUGACAAGUUUCGUCACGGAGAGGAGCGGAAGGGGGUGAUCCUGAGGGCGUGCACACAUAAACACGCGCACACACGCACACCCACCCACACGUGUAAGCGGAGAACAUAUAAGCACACAUAAGGGAAAGGAAACAGAACUGGUUUCUCCAGGAGGGAGGAAGAGCGACGAUGAAGGGCAGAAAGGCGCGAGCACCUCCUAACCCCCUUCUUACCAGCUCCCACCAUUUCCCCCUCUCCCUUUCCCUCCCUUUACCCUCCACACAUAACCCCCACCCACCCACCCACACUUUUCCCCGUACCUUCCCCUCAUUCCCGCCCUGACUGGCCCCCACCCCGUCACGCACAAAAAAACCCUCACCCCUUUCCCCCCCUCCUCUCACCAGCUCUCCCCCCCGGCCGCUACACUCCAAAUUGAGGUCCCCCACUCCCAAGUGCACCAGCCCCGUAAGGGCGGUGAAGCGCUGCAGCUCCUCGCCGCUCACGUCCACUCGCUGAAUGUCCACGUGUGUGAGCCCCGUCAUGCCGGUGACCCAGUUUAAUAACGCAGUCUUGCCCUCGUAGAUCUUGUUUAGAACCUGACAGGACAGGAACGUGUGGCGCAGUAAUGGGUAGGGUAAUGGGAAAGGGUUAAAAAGUGGGAAAAACGAGCGCAGCANNNNNNNNNNNNNNNNNNNNNNNNNNNNNNNNNNNNNNNNNNNNNNNNNNCCGCCGCGGCCGCUGCCGCCGCGGCCUCAGCGUGCUGUAGCAAAUUCAUGUCUGCUACAGCCGCUGCGGCGGCUGCCGCCUCCGCGGCCGCCAUAAUGGGGUUGAUGCCAGGGUGCGGUGGCGCCGGUGCCCCUGCAAGGCCACCCUACGCCACCACACCAAACCGUCCCGUGGGUCACACGAUAUAAUUAGAUUUAUUAGCGAGGCAGAUACAUCACCACAGCUUCAUGGGGCUCGCUCAAUGGCGAUGAGGUGCCGUGGCCAGAAGGGGUGCAUCGCCAUCACCAUCGCCAUCGCCAUCACCAUCACCAUCACCAUCACCAUCACCAUCAUCAUCACCAUUACCAUUACCAUUACCAUUACCAUUACCAUUACCAUUACCAUCACCAUCACCAUCACCAUCACCAUCACCAUCACCAUUACCAUUACCAUUACCAUUACCAUUACCAUUACCAUUACCAUUACCAUUACCAUUACCAUUACCAUUACCAUUACCAUUACCAUUACCAUUACCAUUACCAUUACCAUUACCAUUACCAUUACCAUCUCUGUCAACAAUGGUUUGGAACGAUCAAAAGUGAUCAAAACAUCUUUGAUCAGUUGCAACACCACCAACACCAUCCGUCUCCAAGAGCACUGCCUCAGAUGGUGCACCGAAACGAUGGCACUAACGAUGGCACUAACGAUGGCACUAACGAUGGCACUAACGAUGGCACGCCUGUGGAGGCGUCCGCAUGAUAAGAUGUUCCCCCAUUCCCGACUACACAUCGCACUCAGAAAUGUAAGCCACAUGCAAGGCACUUAACACGCAUUACCUGUGGCUGUGGCUUAGUUCCUUACAACAAACAAACAAACAUACAUACAUACAUACAUACAUAUAUAGCCCCACCUGAUGAUGAUGAUGUUGAUGUUGCUGCUGAUGGUGGUGGUGGUGGUGAUGAUGAUAAAGGUGUCCGGGGCCCCCUCCUCCUCCUCCUCCACCUCCAAAUCCCCCGCCGCCGCCGCCGCCGCCGCCAUGCAUCAUCCAGCCGCCACCGUGUUGGAAAUGCCCAUGCACACCUCCUCCUCCCAACCCCCCCUCCAGCCCCAGGGCCUCAUUCCCCUCCAGAACCCCCUCCAGCAGGUAAUCCGACCACACCAUGACACUCCGAAGGCUGGUGAGGNNNNNNNNNNNNNNNNNNNNNNNNNNNNNNNNNNNNNNNNNNNNNNNNNNNNNNNNNNNNNNNNNNNNNNNNNNNNNNNNNNNNNNNNNNNCGAGGAAAACGUCGGGAAUGAGCUCAGCUGCCGGAAGGCGUCCAGAGUCACCGAGAAACUGGCCCCAGUGAGCCCUAAGAGAUGAAGGGUGUCGGUGUGGGUGUGGGGUGGGAGCCUGGGGGGCCAUGUGGUGCGAGGAAAACGUCGGGAGCCGCCGGAAGGCGUCCAGAGUCUCCGAGAAACUGGCCCCAGUGAGCCCUAAGCGAUGAAGUCAUCGACCCCAGGAGCAUGAAGUCACCAGCACCACGGCAUUGAACCCAUGCCGCGAGAAUGUGUCAUUCUGCCGUACACUGCCUGCCGUACCUGCCGUAGAGCCUGCCCAUAGUCCUCCAGCUCCAAGGCAGUCAGCCGCUUCAGGUCGGAGAGAUAAGCUAGGGCAACCUGGCGGUUGGGUUUCGGAGGUUGUAGGGGGGUUGGGAAAUUGAGUCCCGGAAACAACUUCCAACGUCCAAAAGGGAUGCGGAGGAGGAGAGGGGACUCAUUCGUUGAUGACUUCUUAUAUUGACCCUUCUUCUUUCCUUCCUUUCGCCUUUGAUUUCCAUUCUCAAUUUUCCUUUAUUUUCCUUUUGCUUUCCUUUCUUCCCCUUUAAGUGAGGUCCACCUCCUCCUCUCCCUUGCCUCUCAUCCUCUCCCCCCCUUCCAUAACGAAACCCUCUUUCCUGUCCCCACCUCGUCGCAGUGUUUGCAGCACUGCAGCCGCAGCUUGGCCAAAUCAGGCAACCUCCCCAGCGCCAGCAGCAUGACGUCACUCGUACACAGCUGACACACCUGCGUUGUGGCGGAGGGACAUUGGUGUCAUGGUGGUGAUGGUAGCGGUGGUGGUGGUGGUGGUGGUGGUGAUGGUGAUGGUGGUGGUUGUGGUUGUGGUGGUCGUGGUGAUGGCCGUGGCGGGUGGUGGUGGUGCUACAAAUUAGAAAAAUAGAAAACUCCGCACGCAAAUCCUUCGUGAGCCUCGGUCCAGUAAAACACACGCACUGUCCGUUCCUGGAAUCAUCCGCAACCCCAAACCCUCCCCCGCAGGCCCCCAGACCACACAUACAUACAUACAUACAUACAUACAUACAUACAUACAUACAUACAUACAUACAUACAUACAUACAUACAUACAUACAUACAUACAUACAUACAUACAUACAUACAUACACACACAUACAUACAUACAUGCAGCCGUACCUGCGGUAUGACCAAUUUGCUGACCUGCGGACAAGCCAGUGCUAGUGCCGCCAUUCCCGCCACCGUCAGCUGGGUGCAGUGUUCAAGAUUGAGGCUGGUGAGGCCGGGCAGCCGGGACAGAUCCUGGCAUGGCGGGGAGGGCGCGGGAUAGAUUAGUUGAAUGAUGAUGAUGAUGAUGAUGAUGGCGCAACGGGUCCUUAUUGUCGACACGUCCAAAGGGGGGGGAAGGGCGAGGGUGGAAUUUCAUCCCAGCCCACGUUCCUCUUAACACGGUUAGAACGGGCCCCAUCCCAGCAGCCCCCCACCCCCCUUCUCAGUCCCCCUCAUCAUGAUACCUUGAGCGCCAGCUGUGCAAAGGUCUGGUCCGUGAAGCAGUCCACAUCUGAGGGCUUUAUGACCUCCACAUGCUCCAGGGAGGGAAAGCGACUGUGCAGCUGCCAGUGAAGGGCGUCUUCGCUGUGGGUGGGGUCCAGCUGGUGUUGGGGGAAAGGUCAAAGGCAGAUGUGGGUUUUUGCCUCUUUCUAAAUUGAAAAAACAAAUCGUGGCUGGUAAAGCUCCUAGAAGGCAUAAUACAGGGGUUCUGCAAACCACACAGGUUACACCCCUCACGGCCUCUCCGCCGAAGAGCAUGAUCUGGGCAAAACCAUGCGCGAACAGACCCGCGGGCCGCAAUUCCAUUCACCUGACGAUGGCGACAUUGUUGCUUGUAACAAAUCUCUAAUAUGAGCUUGAUAGUAACGUGCUCUUUGCCAUCCCCAUCAGUAACAAGCACAGUAAGAACCAGCCAGUACAAGCUCGCACGGGGGAAGAGAGGUUGAAAUUUUGGUUCCGAUAGCGAUAGCAGUGGCAAUAUGUGUAUAUUCUUGGUGCGCUGGAACGUCCGUGCCCCAGCAUGGAUGCCGCUACGUGCAGAUGCCGUAAGCUGUCUUCCGAAAGUUUUUGUGAGACAGGCGUCAAGCUCACCUUAACUUUUUUAACAGUAUUAUUUACAAGUGUCCUGAACUUCCGGCAUGCACCUCGCAGCUUUGCACGAUGAUGGGUCCGCAAUCGGCAGAUAAUGCUCUCCCAUACAAAAUCAGGAAGGCGGAACACCGAUGGUGCAUCUUGCUGGGAGCUUCCCAGGGAACUCAUGGGUUUUUAAGGCAAAGUCGACUGAGGUCGAGCUCUACUGACAAGUUCGGGACAGAUAGAAAGCUAUCGCGUGCAUAUCGUCUCCAAGAGUUUUAAAGCAAUCGAAACAACUACAAAGUUUUUCGCCCAGAGAAACGAUCCUGUCACCUGAGCGACUUUAAUAAAAGCUUCAACUGUCGAUACAUCGGCGUUCUUGUAUGAUGUAUGGGCCGCGUUCAAAAGUUUUCAAGUUUGUCGACAAGGACUCGCUCCAAAUAACACCCUUGAACAUGUAUGCAUUAUGAUUACAAACGUUGCCGUACCUCGCUGCACCACCUGCGUUUUCCACUCGCUUGCGACACACGCUUGGAUACAGUGUGGAUCCGCGCAUGCAGGAUUCUUUGAAAUGAGGUAUAAUGAUCCUGGGGCCUGUCCUUCGCAAGCGCUGUACACUUUCCAACUUGCUCAAAGCCGACGGAGCAGGAGCAAGGGUUUCCUUCAGUUGUGGUGCCAGAGAUGAUGCGAACAAGACCCACGUAGGCAACCUGCUGGCUUCGUACCAGCGGUGGGUCCAGCACGUACAACAAGUCGAUAGCUGUUUCGCUCUACAUGUAUUCUGUAACUCCAGCCCGCGAGUAACAUAUCUACCACCUAAACGAAAACGAGUCGCAUAACUGUCCUGUGAAAAGAUACAUCUCAAGGCGUUUGAGUGAAAAAAUGUUCUUCCCCUCGUCACCUUACGUUCUCAGCCCCAGCUUCAAUACCUACAGCGCCUUCCCCGGGGCUCUAAAGCGCUUCCAAAAUCCCCCAACCCCUAAAAACCAGGUUACUUCAACGCGGCUCGUUACUUCCGGACGCCACACAGGCGGCAGCCGUACGCGCGCUGCAGCUGCUGCAAGAUGCCGUACUUGUCCGAGAGGCCCAACGAGCUGGUGAGGUAGAUCGCCGCAACAACCACCAUUUAGUGCGGGGGGAUUUUUGAGAGCCGGUUGGCGUGACCGGUAGAAGGAAGAGGAGUUUCCUUUCAAAAGUUGCGCAUUUUCCUCUCCUUUCGCUCCUCCGAAAAUGUUUUUCUCCAAUGAUGGCGCAACCACGCCCAAACACACAUAGCAGUAUCAUAAUCGUAUGUCCGUACGAUCCUACGUCCUUUGCAGAUUCCUGUGGGUUGAAAUCGCGCCCUGGCGCAUCAUAAAUUUAAGCGCGUGUUGUAUAAGUGCACGCACUGCGCGAGCUUCAGUUCCCCCCCGUAUACACACACACACACACACACACACACACACACACACACACACACACACACACACACACACACACACACACACACACACACACACACACACACCACCUUCCCAAGCCGCGGGCUGCCCCGAACACGCCGCGCACCUACCAAACCCAAACCCGUCUUUCUCCCCCCCCUCUUUUCUACACCUACUUUUUUACGGCUUGGCAUUACUGUUUUUCCCGCGCUUUUUUAGUCCUGGCGGCUAGGUAGGUAGGUAGUUUCCUCACUACAUCAUCCCGCCCCCCCCCCGGCCUUCGCUACAUCAUCCCGAGGUCGCCGCCUUCAAGAACGCCUCUUGGUCAGUUCUACUCCUGGUACACUCUUGCCCUGGCAGCAGCUUCACUCGUUCACGUGGUUCGUCUUUCCCCUCCCCCACCCCAACCCCCCCAUACACACAUCGCCCCGCCAUGCACCACCCGCAGCUCGUCAAAACGACGGCGGCGGCAACGCCGGAAGCACCAGCAGCGACGGCGAAGCGGCGAGAGCACAGGCACGGUACACCACUGACGAUGGCCUAGACGCCGCAUCAUACGCGACACCGCCGCCCGCGCCGCCGCCACCUGCCGCACUCCGAGGAGCCUACCUAUGGGGCCCCGUGGGAUCCGGGAAGACCGCCGUCAUGGAUCUGUUCGCGGAAACAACACGGGUGCGGUUGGAGGAGGCAACGAUGGCGGUGACAGCGACAGAGGCAGAGGCAGCCGCGCCGCCGCUGCAGCAGCAGCAGCAGCAGCAGCUGUCGGCGGCGGCGGUGACGGCAUCGGCGUCGGCGUCGGCGUCGGCGUCGGCUCGCUUCCCGGCGCCUAUAGGCGAUUCUCGUUUCGGUGGCACGGAUGUGUGCAUCCGCCAGCACUUCCACGAGUUCAUGCUGGGAGUCCACGGACGUCUUCACGAGCUGCAGGUGCAGAGGCCCCGGAUUGUGGCUCGCAGCAGGCAGGGAAUGCUGGUGUACAGGUGAGUGAGUGGGUGGGUGAGUGGGUGGGUCGGGGGUUGCGUGAGUGAGUGAGUGAGCGACUGAGUGAGCGACUGAGUGAGCGACUGAGUGAGUGAGUGGGAAACAGGAAUGCGGCCCAUUACCCACCAACUGCGGGUGGUCCGUGGCACCAAGUAGACAGAAGGUAGGGGUAGGGAGUAGGGGUAGGGGAUAGCGCUGCGUUCGCCGGAGAUAGCUAAAGUCAGCUAAAGAUAGCGGGAAACAGCGUGGGUUGUACCUCCUACAGGUCCAGGGCGCCUAGGAUCCGUCGGGCAACCCAUCUAGUGUUCGCGUACUACGAUACGGCUCUAUUCACGGACCGUAUUCCAGGGUCGCGUACUUCUCUCUAUCCAGGGACCAGAACCUAACCUUCGUAUAAUCGGGCUCUAUGUGCAUGUCCCCUGGCUCCCGGGAAUGCCACCACUGCCUGGACCCUGGGAAUGGCUGUUUGCAUUUGGGGCACAGGCAGUGCAACCUCAGCGCCCAACCUGAACUUCCGUACACGCAGGUACGCGGAGCCCGAAGAGGAUCCUUUGAUCACAGUCGCGCGGGAAUGGGGGCGCCGUACUGCCGUACUGUGCUUGGACGAGCUGCAUGUGACUGAUGUUGCGGACGCCAUGAUCCUGUCCAGGUGUGUCUGUGUGUCUGUGUGUAUGUGUGUCUGUGGGUGUGUUUCUGUUACAUAUCGAUCCGGGCCGGAGGCUGGCCAAGGGCAGGACUGUGCCGAAGCACUCUCCCCCCUAGCGGCGGGGGAGGAGAGGGGCGUGAGGGGCCGCCCCCACAGUCCCCUCCUGCCCGACCGAGGGCGCGCGACCCCCCCGGUGUCUCUAACGACUCUGCUUCAUGUAAUCCGCCAUGAUGAUGAAAGAGUGCACGGGGUGGCUACGAAAGGCCCCCUCACAACCAACCUCAGCACGCGCUGCGGCACAUCAGUUGCGUCCAUGCAGCCUUUGCACCAUUUGCACCAGGCGCGGCUUGCUGCCCACCCCGGGUGGUUCCUUGCACAACAUCACCCGGGCGGGCCCCCCUCCUCUUCCCCGUGAUGAGGGGCCGCCCUGGGCCGCGGUGCCUUGAGCCCAGAAAAAGAGCCCUACAAACGUGGCUACGACCUCUCGCUACGGCCCGGAGACUCUACUACUCGGCACAACCAUACCUGGUCAUGCAGAGGUUGCGGGCCGCGACCGGCCCCACUCUAAUAACUGGGGCUGGUCAGCAGUCAACCGCGCUAGGGGGUUAGUUCGCCCCGGUCAGUUUCCCUAUGCGCGGCAGGCGGGCGGGGCUUUAGGUGUCAAGGCGGUGGUCUGUCUGUCUGUCUGUCUGUCUGUCUGUCUGUCUGUGUGCGUGUGUGUACAUGGUGGUGUGGAGGGCGGGAUGCGGGUUGGCUGUACGGGCCCUCGGAGCGCGGGGGUUGUGCAGGUAGCCAGCCCAUGGGUUUGAGCGUCUUUUUUGAUGCGCGAUGACAUGUAUACGCACAUAAUAUGCAUUUGUAUACAUACAUAUAAUUUAAAACAUAAAAAUUAUGUAAGAUAAAUAAUACAUAUACGUGAUCUCGAGAUCUUGCUUACACGCCCGCCACAUAAUCUUUUCCUCCUCAUCUGCUGAUUUAAACCCCUUCUCUGCGCAUCUCUUCCCAAUUUCUCACUCCCUGCCUUUCUUACAUGCGUUCCGCAGCCUUGCGGUCCCUCCCUCCCAUCCCUCUCGCAUCGUCGGCCCUUGUUUGAAUCUAGGCCGGCCGCCGGCGUUUUUCCCAUAACUUCUUUGCUCUACCUUGUUUGGCCCCUCAGGCUAUUCGGCUCUCUCUUACUGGAUUUCCGUACGACUGUGCUCUUCACAUCCAACCGACCGCCCAACGACCUCUACAAGGGCGGCCUCAGUCGAAAGUACUUCGAGCCGUUCGUACGGUUAGUGGACGAGCAAAUGCUUGUAUUACGCGUUGCAGCGGAGGUGGAUUACCGGCGGCGGGCAGCCGCCGCCGCAGCGGAGCCGGUUUCUGCUGUACGGCGGCAAGCAGACGAUGGUGAUGCGGUCGAGGGUACGGCGGCGGCGGGGCCAGCCGCCGUGACGUCAGAAUCUGCUUUGAAAGAUUUGGCUGGCCAGGUACGCGGGGGCCUGUUUGGAUACACCUCUCCUCCUUAACCUGUCUCGCCAACCUGACCUGUCGUGACGCUUGAAAAAAAAGCAGCGCAAAAGUAAAAAAAGGGGCGCAAAAGUAAAAAAGAAAGCGGCGCAAAAGUAAAAAAAGCGGCGCAAAAGUAAAAAAGAAAGCGGCACAAAAGGAAGGGGCCUAUUUAGGCACUAACAGGUCCUUGACCCCCUCUGGUGCGGUGUGGUGGCGGGAACACCUCCUGGGUUUGUUAAACUGUGUCUCCAUGCGUCCCGUAGAUGAUCUCCCCGGGAGCUAUCUUCCGUAGCAAGAACACGUCAUGUCGUACGGUGUACGGCACCUUCCCCGUCGCCAAUUCAGGAUUUACAGAAGCCCCCUGGCCGUUGGCUCCUUGGUUCCGGAGCGGGGGCGGCGGCAGCAGCGGAGGAGCGGCUUCGGAGCCUAUGGGAUGCAGCUACCGGCGACAGAGGCGGCGGUGGCGUUCCUGUGGUGGUACCUCUGGCGUACGGCAGGACGCUCAAGGUGCCGUACGCCUUGGGCGAUGCAGGUAUAUCGCAACUCUAGGACGUAUAUGUAUGUGUGUAUGUAUGUUUAUAUACAUCUGUGUAUAUAUAUGUGUGUGCAUAUAUAUCCAUGUUCCAAAUCUAGGUUAUGUGGCUCUUAGGAGGCUCUUGCGCCUCUAUCCUUGCCAGCUCGUAUGUGUGUGGGCACACUCCUCGUUACACCUCCCUCUACCUACCUACCGGGGUAGCGCAAACCGAGGUGUUACACACAUACAAACAUACAUACAUAUAUAUACACACAUAUGUGUAUACGUCACAGCCAUACAACUGAAUUUGACUGAUUUUAUCCUCAAAAGUAUAUCUUUCGUUAAAUCGUUUUCUGAUUUUUCCUGAUUUAUAAAGAAAGCAGGAGCGCCAACAAGUGUUUGUAAAAUAAAUGUUAGAAAUUAAUGUUUUAGGACGUGGAUCACGUCGAGGAGUUCCUAGCUGACUAUCUGAUGGAUUGACUGUUUGCCAACUACCCGGUUAACCGUCCAACCAUUAACUGACCUGUGGGUCGUUGGCCGCAGCCUGGUUCACAUUUGAGCAACUAUGCGGUGCGGUGGGCCUCCGAGCAGCGGUAGACGACGGCGGCGCACUGGCGGCUCCGUGCUUUCUGGCGCUGUGCCGCCACUUCAGGUGGGAUGCGGCUGUUGGUGGAGUAGGUGGGUGGGUCGGUUUGUUUUGUUAUUCAUUUUGUUAAGGAUGGGAAAAACCAAAGGCAUGUGAUGUGGCCAACGGAUUCCAACGGAUUUGUGUGUUGACAGAUUGUGUGCGCGGUGUCAUCAUCUUUACAUCUCCCAAAUGGAACGGCUCGCAAAUCUUUCACGCAGCAGAUGUUGCUUCCCGCACUUUCUCCAUUCUUCUACGUGCAGGGCCCGAAAAGCGUCGGGUAGUUGGCUGGCACCGCCGAUCUUAACGCGUCGUUCGAGACUUUGUUUAUAAACUCAUCGCGAAUAUUGUUAAACUUUAUUACCCUUCCGUCUUCCGUGCAUUCCUUUCUUUCUUACUUUUUUUUCAUCUCCUCAAGGAAAAGGCUGCCGAUAAACCUCCCUCCCUCCCUCCCUCCCUCCCUUCCUCCCUCCCGCCGUCCCUCCGUCCCUACCUACCUACCUACCUACCUACCAACCUACCUACCUACCUGGACUCCCGUAUUGCCGCACUCACUCCCACCACAUCGCCGUGGGAUCUAUCCUGUAUUUCGCCCUCGCUGGAGUCGGCCCCUUUCCAGGGAGCUAUACAUCACGGGGGUUCCGGAGCUGGGACCAGCCCAGCGUGACGAGGCGCGGAGAUUUGUGACGUUGCUGGACGUAGCGUACGACAACAAGUGGGUGGUUUACGGCCAUGUACGAGACUCUCUAAUAGGGGAUGUUAGGCGAGUGUCGUGUGGCUUUCGACUUGGGAUGGGGUUGCAGGAAUAGGAAUUUAAGGUGGCUUCUCUCAUAUUUUAUGUUCGCACGUUUUGGCGUGUUAAGGGAAAAAUGUGUGUGGAGAAAAAUGGAGAAGCACCGCCACCAGUAUCGUCAUCGCGGCCAUGACUACCAUGACUGCCGUGACGGCGCACGACUCCUCCCCUCCUGCCAAUGACUAACCCCGUCCCAGGUGCCGCCUGGUGGUGGCGGCGAGCGUUCCGCCGGACGCACUCUUUGCACCGCUGCUGGAGGAAGCCCGCCGCCAGGUGCGUCGUACACUACAUCAUCCCAAUUCCUGCACACGCCCGUGCAUUCCAAUGCGUAAUCUAAACCAAUAUUGGUCCUAGUGGCCGAUAUCCCUUAUAAUACUUGGCCAUCAUGAUUUGCGCAUGUGUGCAUGUAUGCAUGUAUGUUUGUAAGUCCUCCUCUGCAUUCCUUUUGACGCAAGGCCAUAUGACGAUUACAUCUUCUUUACUUCCUCUCCCUGAUGUUUAUAAUAAUAUGAUACGGAGGAUGGUACGGGUAAGAAGGCAUCUUAUGGGAUGCUCCCACAUGGGAUGAUCUUAUGGGAUGCAUCCCAUAAGAGCUAGUAUUGCAAUAUGCCGCAGGGCAUCUACCCGCGCCUGAGUCUGCCCAAGACCGCCAGCCAGGCUGAGGCGAAGCACCAUCAGGGGGCGAACACAGCCACUGGUGCUGCCGCAACGACCACUUCACUGCCGCCGGCAGCCGCCUCAGCGGUCACUACUGAAGAACAGCCCACUGCUGCAAGAAGAGCCGCCGCCGCGUCCGAUUUCGUCGUGCCCUCCGCCACUCCACCGCUGCCCAGCACCAUCACAGAGCCCACCGCAAGUCAAGGUCCCCCUAGGACUCACAUUCCGGGGUCAUCAUCAGCAGUCGUUGAUGAUAACGUUCAUCCGAGCGAGUUCACCGGUGCGGCGCUACAUGGCGCCGCUCCCUCGCAACCACGCCCUUCGCCUGCUGACUUGGCGGUGCCCCGCUUUGUCCUUGGAGAGGAGGUGCUCAUGUACCACCGAGCAAUGUCACGGCUUGCGGAGAUGUGUUCUGUAGUUUCAGUGGCAGGAAAUGCAUUGGACUGAAGGACUAAAGGACUGGCGGCGAAAUGAUGGACAGCUGGUGUCUGUAUGUGUGUGUGUGGGGGGGGGAGGGUUCAUGGGUUUUUCACCAGAGGUGAAUUUGCAAAGAUGUGUGUUUUCCCCUUCACUAGUGAUCAAAGAUAAAAAAAGUCAGUUCAUGCGAAAAGGAUGAUAUGCAUCUUUUUAAAAUAUGUCUGUUAUCCAUGGAUACUCGUUAUGUUCGGUGCCUCAAAGAUUUGCUGUACUUUUGGGCAGGGGUGUCUAGCUGCCCCGCUGCCUAAAGGAUGCAUGCACAGCAGCCGCGGCUGGGGGAGCACUGCACCAAGUAUGGGGUUUCUAUCGCUUGUAACCAGCAGUUCUUUAGACCGGCUACCUUUGCAGAUGAUGUUUACUUCGCAUAAAGCGGGGGAAAGCUGCACAAAGCAGCUCCACAUCACGCAGGCCAAGAGCAAGCGCGCCCGCGAGUGCACAAAACGCAACACGUAAUUUAUGGACAAGGGCCAUGUCCAUGCAACUUAACGCCACUAACAGCUUUAAACAAUCCGCACACACACACACACACACACCAUGUCUACGUGUUGCCCUCAUUAUUACAAUCACUUUAUUCGAAAUAUCGAUAAAGCAUAAGGCCAUGCAAGAAGCACCACGCCCACAACAGCAAGGAAAGAGACACUUGUCAAACCGAGAACAGUUCCCCUUUUAUUCAGCAAGAGCAUGCCAAGCGAGGAUGUACGGAACUCCAUCGCCUGCUGUACAGCUGGCAGUACGAGACAUAACCACCAGGGUGAGGGCACCUGACAGUAGGCGCCACUACACCUUCCUGCAGACCGGUAACAACACCCGACCUUGAUCCGCAAAAAGAUACACAGCCAACACGAAAAGGAACAGAAAAAGGCCACCAAAACGUUCAACCGACUUCAACAACCGAAUCACCUAGCAUGUCUGAAUGGCUGGGUAGAAGGCUAGGGUUAAAAAAAGCCCCUCUGCAUUGGGCCUCUGCAUUGGGCUUCGUUCCCACGAGCACAAUAAUGGCUGUAGUAGCCAAGAAAAAAAACACUACACGCGGGGCCAGACUGGCCGUUCUGGCUGCUCCAGCCCACAACAUGACUGCAAUGGUAACCAGGCAGACCAAGUAAUCCACCACGCGCUAGAGCGGAAACUAACCGCAACUUUCCAGCAAAUGCAGCUUUGCUCCACAAUCAUCUACUGACACCAAUACCUAUCGGGCGCCGUGUUGCACACACAUGUCUUGCUGCUCUUUUCCUCUCUCCUUCCUUUCUUCUUCUAGGACACCAUACACCAGGAAGCAAAAUCACCAUCCGAACAUGCAUCAGCUAAGAUUCUGAACAUCAUCUGCAACAGCUGGACUGUCUUAAUGACUAAAAUGCUAUUACCGACUUGGUUGCCAAUUUCACCUCCACAGCUCUAUCCUAUCCCAUCAUCGACUCAGCAACACAAUCGCAACCAGCAACAAACACAACGCUACACCAACGGUGGGGGAUUUGCCCCCAGAUAGAUGUAUGGGUAGUUUCUUAAAUAGGAAUAUAUACAUAGGUUGCCCUCUAGCUGUAGCCGUUCAUGCGGCUUACAGCAGAGCGGAACUGAAGUGUUCAUGUCUUCCUGGCCAUACACGCGCCUAGUCACGCCUCCAGGGGCUUGAUCUCACCAACCUCCACGAGCUUCAUGCCCAUCGCCGCCUCCUCGUCUGAAUCCACGCCACUCUCAUCCGACUCAGACUCCGACUCCGAGCUGCUCUCGUCCUCCGACUCGCUGUCGUCCUCCUGGCCCAUCAAUGGCUGACCCUCUGCACCCUCCCUGGCCUGCGGCUCCAUCGUGGCUUGAGGAAUUGUGACCUCCUCGUCUCCUGAAGACCCAUCACUGCCAUCUUCCUCCUCUUCCUCGGAUUCACUUCCACUGUCGUCAGGCACCUUCGCAGCCUUCAUCUCGGCCUUGUUGGCAGAGCCCAACUUCUCCCCCUCAUCACUCUCACUCUCACUUCCACUGCUUUCCUCCUCAUCCGAGUCAUCAUCCGUCUCCUUGGCCAUCAUGGACUUCUUCUCCUCCUGCUUCUGUAACAUCUUGUCCUUCUUCUUCUUUUUCUUCUCCUCCUCCUCCUCCUCCUCCUCCUUGUCCUUCUUCUUCUUUUCAGCCUUUGCCGCCUUCUUUUUGUCCUUCUCUUCUUCCUCUUCCUCAUCCGACUCGUCGCUGUCUUCACCAUCCUUUCCACUCUCUCCUGCUGCUGCCUUCUUGGCCUUCUUCUCUGCCUUGGCGCCCUCCUUGCGCAUCUUCUUAGCAGCCUUCUGUGCCUCCUUCUCGGUGACGGCCACCUGGCGUCAUGGAAGAAACGUGGGGCAUUAUUUAUAAGUCAAGCAAGAGAUAGGAAUAGGAGAAAUCUAUCCUUGUCAUUCGUAUAAAACCCGUCCCAACCCGGCCCUCGUUUUCCCCGGCCCUCCUCCCCUUGUGAAAUGAUAGCGGUGCGGUGCGAUGCGGUGUGCGGGGAGUCAUAUGCGGGGAGGGGCGGAAACCGGCGCUCGCAUGCCCACCUGCCCACCCGCCACAGCCAUAGGGUCUUCCUCAUCGGAGGAAGCCUCCUCGUCAUCUUGGGAGUGUUCCGCUCUCUUAUGGCCCUGCAUCCCUGUGGAGAUCUCCGCAAGCGGCACCACCACGCUGCGCCCUGGGAGGUCAAGAGUGAAGCUGCUUGCAUCUGCUGGCAUGGUCUGCAGACCAUACUUGCGACCCAGCUUGGCGCAAUCCGUCAAGAGCAGCACGUGCUCGCCGUCGCUAGCCUCUAUGGUGGAGAACCAUGCCGCUCGCUUCGCCACCUUCUCCAUCACUUUCAGGUCGUCAUGCAGCUGGUGGAGAUGCUGUUGGGAGGCACUGCCAUCCUGUCCGUCGGUGCUGCGCGGCAGGUGCCGGUGCAGAAGGUAGAGGGCGGGCCGCCGAACGGAAGCGGGUUGAGGAGCGGUUGGGGCUUCAACUGUAGCCGCAAACGGCAGCCGAGGGACUGAAAUUGUAAUCCGUGGAGCUGAAAAUUUAGCCUGCAAUGCAAUGGCACAGGCAGAUUUUGCAGCCAAAUGUUAAAGCAUCAAUGCAGCGUCCACGUCAGAAUGGACGACAGCUGGGGCGAGACCGCGACUGAUGGAAAACCUAGGAAGCACCUAUACCUGGCAUGAGCUUGUUGGCAAAAGAUGGACGCUAGCGGACGGGUUAACUAACAGCAUCCGAGCUUGCACUCACCGGUAAUGCCAACUUUCGAGUUUGGGCGGCGCCGGGACGAUGAACUGCAAAGACAAAGACGGCAAAUAUUCUACAUGCUGAAUUUAUCAAUGAGAGUUUCUCCCACUGCAUUAAGCCCCGGAAGUUAGGACUUACGUGCCACGCUCAGACGAGGGGGCUGCAGGAGUAAUGCCAUGGCUUUAAUGGAGUCCAAAAUUGGUACUCAGUAAUACAACGCAAGACGCUUUGAUGUCACAACGAGAAUGACAACGUUUUCCUUCACUACCACAGAAGUACGGCUUUUCGCGAAGUCAUGCGAACUUCACCCAAGCUGGAUAACCGUUCAGUAUGCUAAGUCGUGUCAUACUUUCCGUAAUACAGCAUGCAUUUGCUUGGCACUAAACAGGUGAUGCGAUGUUCGCGACGACUCCACAGUAGUACGUCUAGCGGUAGUCGCUUCCUCCGUCUAAGGGCCGCCCUCCCUUCAGCAGCCCAUACGCUGCCAGCCGUUCAAGAUACAACAGCCAAUAUGGAGAACGAAAUGCAGCAACAAAAGGCAGCUGCUCGGGCAUCCCAUCGCAAAUUGGAGCAUCUCAACUUUGACAACCUGACGUUGCGGGCUCUGCCCCUGGACCCUAUCAAAGGCGGCCCGGUGCGCCAAGUGGAAGGCGCCUGUUUCUCCCGGGUCGAUCCCACCCCCGUCUCCAACCCCCAGCUAGUGGUCGCUUCCCCCGAGGCUCUAGCUUUGCUGGAUGUGGAUCCUGCCGAGGUGAAUUUCAAAACCCUUUUGAAACUUCAGGGUGCUAAAGCUCAAGUAUCGCUACCGCGUCCUCAGCUGGGCUGGUCAUAAGAGGGCUGAGCAGUAGGCCACGAGGGGAAGGGAGCCCGGCGGGGUCUGGGCUUGGUGACUUAAGCAGGCUGGUCUUGGGGGCAAGCGGGCCUUUCGCUUAUUGCUUUUCGCUCUGGCCGGAUGGCUUGCUUACUUCUCUCUGCUUGUGCACACAUGCACGUCCAGUGGUUUGUGGGUUGCAGUGUUUUUUUUCGUUUUGGGCCUAAUACCCUAGAGUAAUAAACUGGGUGUAAACUGGGUAUAAACUUUCAACGGAAGUCAAACAUUUUGUUUCACCUACCUUAGGCACCUUCAGAAAUUUAGAAAAAGUGGAGUGCCGGCGACAAACCCUAAGCCCUGCGAAAAGCGGUUAGUAUCUCUUGCGGUUAGUAUCUCUUGCGGUUAGUAUCUCUUGCGGACGGCCCUGAGGGCAGCUCCCCCGCCGUGGAUGACGGUGCGAUUGCUUUCUUCGCCGCAUGGUCCCCUUCGAGAUAGCGACCAGGGAGGCCUCGGCCAGGAAGAGCUUGAUGACGGAAAGGGAGAGGGGACCAUGCUGUAUAUUUAACUUCCCUUGAUUGGCGGGACGGACAGGUUAUUCCGCAGUGGAUGACCCAUGGGUCACCCUCGCGAUUUACCCCGACUGAUGAAUUACUUGUUAAAUGAUAACAGAAACCGUGUGGACACGCGAGACGCUUAGCUGUCCUGCGUUGCUGCUGGCCUUAUCCUUGCUUUAAUAACAAACCCUAAUAACAAACCCUUGCUUUAUAAAGGGAACUUUGCGCAAUUUAUUUCAUACUUGCUUCCCUGGUGAAGCUCUGGGCCGCCGCCUCCAUGAGCUAGACCUGUCGGGCCCCUCCCUCUCUCCCCCCCCACACACACAUUGUUUUGACCUGACCCAGAUCGACCGGCCCGACUUUGCCGAGUACUUCUGUGGGAACAAGCUACUGCCUGGGGCUGAAGCCGCCGCGCACUGCUACUGCGGCCACCAGUUCGGCUACUUCAGUGGGCAGCUGGGGGAUGGAGCGGCCAUGUACCUGGGGGAGGUGAGUGAGAGGAUGUUAAUGAAUUCAUUCCUGAACGCAUAUGCCGUAUAUGUCGUACGCUGUCGUACAUUUGUUGUCCGAUGUACAUUUGCUGUGUGCGGAGGGAGGGGAGAGGUGGUUGGAGAUAUGCAUACCAAGCACUGGUAUAAUACUCUUAUCCUUGAGUUGUAUGUGAUGCCCUCCGUUUGCCGUACACGGCAUUACCGGUGCCGUACAACUGCAGGUGGUGAAUAGUCGUGGCGAGCGGUGGGAGCUGCAGUUCAAGGGCGCCGGGAAGACGCCGUACAGCCGACAGGUAGGGCAGUUGUACGAUGACUAUGUGUUUUGUGGCACGCGUGGGCCUAGGGGACUGGCACGGGGCCGGCAGGCGCUGCCCCACACGGAUUCCCCAUUGUUGAUUGAAAUCCACUUCUUUCCAUGGGAUGCCCCGUGCCUCAAUGCCUCGCUUUGUCGGACUUUUUAUUGUUUCCUCUAAACCUGGAGUCAGAGUCCAUAUCAUGGUCAGAAUCCGAAACUGGGGCUCCAUCUCUUACCUAAGUAUCUAAUAUCUAUCUACGCCUCGCUGUGCAUCUCACUUUGUGUCUCUUGCUCUAUCUUUUAGCAGAAACACUUUCAACCGUUGAGUUGGUUUCUACUCGUCGGCACCUUCAAUGAUGUCGUACCCCACAUCUCCCUGGAGGCGGGAAGCCUUUCCGAAGAAAGCCUCGGCCGACAAAAAGCCUGAAUGCCCUAACAAGAUUCUGCAUGCUUUCCUUUUCCGGAUCUUCAUAAGCCGGCCCCCUUCCUGCCCCCCUUCCUGCCCCCCUUCCUGCCCCCCUUCCUGCCCCCCUUCCUGCCCAGGCCGAUGGUCGCAAGGUUCUCCGUUCCUCCCUUCGAGAGUUCCUUUGUAGCGAGGCCAUGUAUCAUCUGGUGCGGUGGCAGGGAACGGGAGGGAAGAGAGAGAGAGGGGGAGGGAAGGACGGGGGGAGAAAGGGAGAAGGGCUGUCCUUUACUCGUUUCGGAUCUAGACCGGAAAUUGCUGGUCACGUGUCUGGGUUGAUGCUUUCCGUCAUGUAUUCCCCGUAUUGGCUGUGGGUUUAUCCUCGUGUGACUCAUGGUAACUGCUUCAACUUCAACGUGAAAAAAUGAUAUGUGCAUGAAAAUUAUGUUGUACGAUUAGUCGUACAGUACACGACAGUACUGUCUUGUGGACAUCAAAAAACUAAGCGCUGCUAACGACUUCCACUUUCGAAUUUUGUUGAAUUAUUUUGUUCAUCUCCAUUUACCGGGCCAUAACCGACUGCAGGGAGUGCCAACCACACGGGCCGGCACGUGCGUUACGUCAGACACCCGAGUCGUGCGUGACGUGUUUUAUGACGGUAACGCCAUUCUGGAGAAGGCAACGAUCAUCACACGUAUCGCGCCAACCUUUUUGCGAUUCGGGUCGUUCGAGAUCUUCAAGCCCGUAGAUGCCUUUACAGGUGGUAUGCAUAGUACGACACAUGUACUGUCCAAUUUGGGACAAUGUUAUGUGCAUGUGCAGCAUAUGGUAUGGCUUAACGCGGCACACAUCACGAAACACCUCACGAAACUGAACGAGAUGGCUUUUCUGCAAACACUCCGUUACACGGCAUGCACACCACUGCCCCACUGGGGCCGUAAUAUACACAAAGCAGGGAUUCAGAAGCAAAUAAAGCACCGAAACGUAGGAGAGCUAACCCGCUCCAGAACUCAGCAACGCUCGGCGGUCGUAAGCCACUGUUUUCUUCGCCAGCUCAGAAUGCAUGUUGCAUGAUUCUGCUUUACCGAGAUUUCGCGACGUUUCGGACCAUUUCUUAGUAUACCAUUCCUUAGUAUAUAUAAUUAUAAUAUGCACUUCAUAACAUGUCCACUAAGCCUGUACCUUGGCGUAAAGUCAAGGUCAGGGGUUCGAAUCAUGCCGGGGAGUGUCGCGUCUCCCUGUCACCCGAGCGGGGGCUGAUAGUUGGAAGUUCCGCAUGAUACCGUCGGUCCAGUUCUUCUGCGUCGAUGGCGUGUCCGCUCUGAGCCUACAGUCGACAACGGCGUCUCCCUGAUGGGGGAUGGUCGUGGUUGAUGAUUAAUCUGGGACCGCGUGAGGCAGUAACCUGAGCAGCGAAAACGGAUAGCUGCGGGCGGCAGACGGAUCGCAUGCCUGAGUGGGCGGCUGGGCCACCCGACGGGUCCUCUGCGAGGCAACCAACUGUUUUGUGAAAAUAUAUAUUUUUCAUUGCUUUCGUUGCGCGCACACAUUCUGUCAGGUUAUUCCAUUUGCCUUUUCUCGUUUCCUUUAUUUUUCCUUUUCCUUUUAAUUCCUUUUUUAAUCUCUUCUCUUUUCAACAAUUCUUUUCGUAUUUUCGCGGUGUCUCUUUCUUUGUCUCAAGCUUUGACAUACGUUUCUCAAGCUUCGUUCUCAAGCUUUACCAUACGUUUCUGAAUGACUUCAUCCAUUUUAAAACUUAAAUUACAAAGAUACCUUUUAUGGUUAAAACUUGCUUUAAUUUUCACCACCACCGUCACCACUGUCUUUUCGUGACUGUCACGAAGCCAAGGGAUGUCACAUCCCUUGGCUCUGCCUCGCCUGCGGCUGACUAGAACUCAUUAGUGCCAAUGGGUAACGCUGACUUACUACAACACUCCUAACAUGCUACAUGUCGAACUUGUCGUGCACACACGGCGUACACGUACCGAACACGCAUCACCCUUCCUCCUUUCACCUUCCCUCUACACACCUAUCUCAAACUCCAGG